rnacentral:rRNA from 1 species
UACGUAGGGCGCGAGCGUUGUCCGGAAUUAUUGGGCGUAAAGAGCUCGUAGGCGGCUUGUUGCGUCUGCUGUGAAAUCCCGGGGCUUAACCCCGGGCGUGCAGUGGAUACAGGCAGGCUGGAGGCAGGCAGGGGAGAAUGGAAUUCCCGGUGUAGCGGUGAAAUGCGCAGAUAUCGGGAGGAACACCGGUGGCGAAGGCGGUUCUCUGGGCCUGUUCUGACGCUGAGGAGCGAAAGCGUGGGGAGCGAACAGG